AUACUUACCUGGCAAGGGAAAUACCAUGGUCAGAAAGGUGGUCUUUCCAGAGCAAGGUUUAUCCAUUGCACUCCAGAUGUGCUGACCCCGGUGAUUUUUCCCAAAAAAGUGGGAAAUGCAACUGCAUCAUUUUUUCACGCUCUCCCCUGGGGGAAA